AGAGUGCAAUAAAGCCAAGGAUGAAUUGCCGACGGUUUUCUUUGUAUACAAGCGUAUAUAUGCACGAAUGCAUUUCUGUCGGCAGUCCGUUCUUGGCUAUGUUGGGCUCUUU
rnacentral:pre_miRNA from 1 species